AACGAACGCUGGCGGCAGGCCUAACACAUGCAAGUCGAGCGCCCAGCAAUGGGAGCGGCAGACGGGUGAGUAACGCGUGGGAACCUUCCUGAUAGUACGGAAUAGCCCAGGGAAACUUGGAGUAAUACCGUAUACGCCCGUAAGGGGAAAGAUUUAUCGCUAUCAGAUGGGCCCGCGUAGGAUUAGCUAGUUGGUGAGGUAAUGGCUCACCAAGGCGACGAUCCUUAGCUGGUUUGAGAGAAUGACCAGCCACACUGGGACUGAGACACGGCCCAGACUCCUACGGGAGGCAGCAGUGGGGAAUCUUGGACAAUGGGCGCAAGCCUGAUCCAGCCAUGCCGCGUGAGUGACGAAGGUCUUCGGAUUGUAAAGCUCUUUUGCCUAGGGACGAUAAUGACGGUACCUGGAGAAUAAGCCCGGCUAACUUCGUGCCAGCAGCCGCGGUAAUGUCAGU
rnacentral:rRNA from 1 species